CUUAUUCAAAAAUAGAUCAUGACUGUAUUAAAGACUUAAACCACAUUAUUCAUCACAUAUUAUGUUAUACAAUAUCUAUACUAUUAAAAGUGAAGGAGUUUUGAAAAAUCUACCUAUGGAAAGUUGUUGGACCUUUCACUAGACUUAGCUAUUUUUUUGGUCUUACCUUAUAUUUCUCUAAUUAUCUCUAACUAUUAAGGGUUUGCCAUAUAUUUCUCUAACUUUAUAUCUACACUAGUAUUGUUACCAUGAGUCGAAAAAUCUACCUAUACAUUAUUAAUUAUUUCUAUUAUAUAUAACCAAAGUUUAUAAGUACGUUUUUCAACACGUAUAUUCUUUCGUUCUCUUUCUGCUGAUACAAACUUUUCUUUCAACAAAAGAUAACUACAUGAAACAGACUCACAAAAUAAAUAUUUAUUGCUUCACUGUAUCUAUAUUAAUAAUUCUUUGAAGCUUGGUGUUACAAAAUAAAUAUCUACACGACUUCAAAUGGUAAAGGCGAUGAUUCUGAUAAUGACAUCAUGUACUUGGUGCUUCGAAAAUGUUAUCAUUUACGAAACUAUAUACUCUUCAUGGAUUAUCGGUUUAGGUAGAAAAAUAGUUCUAUAUAUUUUCAAACUUUCACAUAUCAACAUUUGGCGAAUCUUAAAUAUGUAUUAUAAUUAAUUAAAAUGUAAGAAAAUAACAAUUUAAUAAAUUUUCUAUUUUUUGACUUAACAACUUUAAAAUAUCCAAAUAUUUUUAUGUCAUUUUGUUCAUUCAAAAUAUCUAAGUCAAAUAAUUAGCUCAAAAUAUAGUAAUAUACUAAAUCAUUUUCUAGAUUUUGCAUAAGAUAGUAGAUCAAAAAUUGUCAAAUACAGAAAUUCAUCGUUACGGGUGAUACUAUAUUUACAUUCUAAUAUAUUGAAUCUAUUAUAACAAAUAAAUGCAUAAAUUUAUUUACGGAACUUGAAAAUAUAUUUUAUUGACGGGAGAUUUAGUUGGAAUUGCACAUCAAAUCUUUACUAUUAAAAGAAAAGGAUUAUUAAAAAAUCUACUUAAACAAGGUUGUUAGACCAUUUCAUUAGACUUAACUAUUUUUGUUCUUACCUUAUAUUUCUCUAACUAUAAAAAAUACUUUACAUAUUUUUUUUAUAAUUUAAAUGAACUCAUUUAUUAUUCUCCCAUAAUCUAUUAUAUAAUUACUCUAACAAUAAAUCCCUAUGAAUAUAGACAAAUUAUUCAAACAUGUUUACACAUGACGUGAUUAUUACCACAUAUAGUUCAAUUAUUAGUAUACAGUUUUUAAUGGUUUAGUUAUGUUUAAUAUAUGUUGUAAUGGAGAAUCCUCUGAUUUGUAACAAUUUUUUUUUCUUUUUUUCACGUGAAUUGAAAACUAAAAGCCUUAAUGUUAACUAUUCAACUCUGAAACAUUAAUUUAAUUAAUUACAUGCAAUCAAUCAUUAAGAUUUAAUGUUACAUUCUUAUAUAUGAACUAAAUGAUUAAUCUUAUCAUAAAAAAUCAAAUAGGUCUAAACGGGUUGGAGAUUUAAAAUGAAAUUAGAAAAAAAAAACAGGUAUAAAUUAGAACAUGUUUAUUUACUUUACAAAUUCUAACAAUGCAUAUGAUACAUUUUAUUGAAUUUUUACAAAUGUAAAAUAUCUUGUGCUUUAAAUCGGGUCGUUUAGGUUGUUUGGAAAAAAUAUAUAGGAUAAAUAAUUAACUAUUAAUUAUUUUAAUAAAAAAUAUUCGAGUCAUUAAUUUUUUUUUGCAUAAUUUGGUUUAUAAAUAGUAUUUAUAGGAUAUUUGGUUGUUUAGAAAUUAUAUAUAAUUAAUAUUUGUAGGUAUAUAAUUUGGAUUUUAAAAAUCUAAGUACUCAUUUGGUUCUCAGUUUGGUUUCGGUUCCAAAAAUAUAUGAUAUGAUCGGUUAUUUAUGAAAUUCACCUUAAUUUUAGUUUUUUCUUUCCAGUUUGGUAUGGUUCCGUCCACGCGGGUAAAUGUAUUCAAACCUAUACAUUAUCUUAUAUAGAAAUUGUAUAAGAAGAAUUUAUUUAAUUUCAAAAAUAAACCCGCGCUUUCUAAGCGCGGGUCAAAAUCUAGUUUAUACUAUUAAAUUCAAAUACAUCAAAAGCGUACAUCAUAUAUACAUAGUAUUCAACGAUGCCAAUAUUAUUUAAACGAUAAGGUUGGUUGCAAUCACAAUUUAAAAUUUUGAACUUUUAAAUAAAUCGUAACAAACUAUGUAAACGAAAACGAACAUAUUAAGAAUAUGCUAAGUAUAUAUAUUCUUAGGUUUGUUUUGUUAAUAAUAUAUACGAUGAUCAAACCAAAAAAACAGAAAAUUAUUAAAUUAUUUUUUUUCUUUAGUCAUUAACCAUUUAACUUCUUUCGUCAAUUAGAGCCCAAUAAACUAACAACACAAUUUUUCAAAAAAGCCCACAAUAACCAUUUUAUAUGUAAAAUGUAUAUAAAUCAUUAAUUAAAAACUCUAAUUUUUAAUAAUAAAACAUAUGUGUCAAAAUGAAAUUUUAGUUUAUUUUAAUAGUAUAGAUAAUUUUUCAGAAUUAAAAAAAAAACAAAAAUUUUAUGUACUUAAUAUACAUACUAAUAUAUAUUUGGUUAUUUUGAUAAUUAAUAUACAUACAAAGAAAUGUAUGUAUAAAAAUCAUUUCUAAUAACACUAUAUAUACAUUCAUGCUAUUAUUUCUAUAUAUACUAUGAAACCCACGAUUUCAUCUUCAAAUAUACUUUUAAUCUAAUUAGCAAACAUAUUUUGUUUUAUUAAAUCUAAACCGGACUAUUUACGGGUCACUCGAUCUAUCGGUUCGACCACAAGUCUCAGUCGAGUAUGAAAACACAAUGAAAACAUUGUCUGAAUAUCUAUACUAUUAAAAUUUGAUUCUUAAAAAAUGUACUUAAAAAUUUUUGUUGGACCUUUUCGUUAGCUAAUAAAUUAUUAUUUGGUCUUACUUUUUAUUUCUCUAACUAUAAAAAUAUUCUAGAUAAUUCAAAUGAACUCAUUUAUUAUUCCAAUAUAACAAUAACCCCAUGAAUAUAUGACAUAUGACUCAAACAUGUUUAACAUGAUGUGAUCCUUACCACAUAUAUAGUUCUAUUAAUACUAUAAAAAUUUUAAUAGUUUAGUUAUGUUUAAUAUAAGUUCUAAUGGAGAAUCCUCUGAUGUAUAACAAUUUUUACAUAUUUACGUGAACUGAAAGCUAAAAGCCUUAAUGUUAACUAUUCCACUAUUAAACAUUGAUUUAAUUAAUUACAUGCAAUCAAUUAUUAAGAUCUAAUAUUACAUUCUUAUAUAUAAACUAUAAAUGAUUAAUCUUAUCAUAAAAAUAUAAAAUUGGUCUAAACGGGUUGGACAUUUAAAUGAAAUUAGUCAAAAAGACUGGUUUAAAUAGGACAUGUUUAUUUGUUUUACAAAUUCUAAUAAUGUAUAUUAUACGUUUUUAUUGAAAUUUCACAAAAUUUAAAAUAUGUUGCCCUUUAAAUACCGGAUAAUUUGGGUUAUUUGAAACAAAUAUAAAAUAAUUCGAAUAAUUUUUAAUAUUUUGAAUAAAAAUAUUCAGAUAAUUAAUUUAUUGCGUAAUUUGGUUUAUAAAUAAUAUUUUAGGAUAUUUUGUUAUUUAGAAAUUAAAUAUAAUUAAUAUUUGUAGGUAUAUAAUUUUUACUUUAAAAAUUUAAGUACUCAUUUGAUUCUCGGUUUGGUUUAUGUUUUUCGGUUUUAAAAAAUAUAGAAUAUGCUCAGUUAGUUAUGAAAUUCAGCAUAGUUUUAUUUUUUUCAGUUUGAUACGGUUCAGUUCACCACGGUAAAGGUGUCCAAACAUAUACAUUAUCUUAUAUAGAAAUUCAUAUAGAAAAAAUUAAUUUAAUUUCAAAAUUUCAUAUACAUUAUCUAACUGCGGGUCAAAAUCCAGUAAAUCUUUAAAAGACAAGUAUAUAUUGCUAAUGCACAACAUAAUUUGUCUAAAGCGGAGGUCCAUAACAAUCAAGACCACCUCAAGUUUGAGUAAUAGAAUAGCCUUUUGACGUUAAAAAAAAAAAUCUAUAUAUGUGAUCUUACUUUAUUUUUUUGUCAAUUUUGAGGAUAAAUAAUUAUUUAAAUAUGUGAAAGCUUAUGCACAUUUAUGUUAUAAAUACUUGAAUAUUAAAUGUGUUGAUUUCAGAUAGUUUUUUUUUUUGUAGAAAAAAAGAGUUAAAUCCGGGUUUAUUAAAGACACAAACCUAAUCCCCGGGUGGGAGGUGCAGCCCACGACAAGCCUUCUUCCGGAUUUUCAUACGGACGUAUCCGCAGCCGUGGUGAACAGGACAAUAUGACUUAGUUUCCGCAGCAGGAAGAUCGAACCCGGAAUGUGUUUGUCUACUACCACUGGACUAUAAGGCCCGUUCAAAUUUUCAGAUAGUUGGAGAAUAAAAUACUCAUUUUCCUAACAUUUCACCCAAAGAAAUCACGUUUCAAGCAAAAAGAAGAAGCAAAUGAAAGGUAAUUUCGUCCAAAACGUUCUUAUUAUCAUCACUGUUAUUUUUAAUUUGUUUCAAUAUAAAUAUCAAACCACAUACUUAUUAUUCUUUUUUUUUGUCUUAAGCAUUCCGAAAAUUAUCUUCUAUAACAUAAUGCAUCUAAUACAAUUUUGACAAAAUCAUAAUUUUUUGUGAUCCAUACAUACGUCUGAUACAUAUCGCGGUUUUCAGAGCAUCACAAUGUUUACACUGCGGUUGCGGUCAUAUAGUUUUUGCAAUACGCAGCUGCAUUUAUUGGAGACAUCAUAUGGAUAACCCCUUCAGCCUUGAGAUGCGGAAUCAACAAUUUCAAAGACACCUAAGGAUUCACAUUUUAAGAAAAACAAAUCAACACAAAAAGAAAAGAAAAACCAAUAUCAAAUUGCGGAAAAUUUUGCAAUAUAAGGAAAAAUUUAUGACGUUUACCAGAAAAAAAGGAAAUGAAA